ACGCACGCUGGCGGCGUGCCUAAUACAUGCAAGUAGAACGCUGAAGGAGGAGCUUGCUUCUCUGGAUGAGUUGCGAACGGGUGAGUAACGCGUAGGUAACCUGCCUGGUAGCGGGGGAUAACUAUUGGAAACGAUAGCUAAUACCGCAUAAGAGUAGAUGUUGCAUGACAUUUGCUUAAAAGGUGCAAUUGCAUCACUACCAGAUGGACCUGCGUUGUAUUAGCUAGUUGGUGGGGUAACGGCUCACCAAGGCGACGAUACAUAGCCGACCUGAGAGGGUGGUCGGCCGCCCUGGGACUGAGACACGGCCCAGACUCCUACGGGAGGCAGCAGUAGGGAAUCUUCGGCCAUGGGCGGAAGUCUGACCGCGCAACGCCGCGUGAGUGAAGAAGGUUUUCGGAUCGUAAAGCUCUGUUGUAAGAGAAGAACGAGUGUGGGAGUGGAAAGUUCACACUGUGACGGUAUCUUACCAGAAAGGGACGGCUAACUACGUG
rnacentral:rRNA from 1 species